rnacentral:ncRNA from 1 species
AUAAAGUUUUAUUCUAGCUUAUUUAAUUGAUUUAUGAAUUUUUUUACAUGUAAAUUUUUGUAUUUAUUUAUUUUAAUUUAGAUAAUUAAAAUAGUUUAAUUUAAACGCAGUAAGAAGUAUUAAAUUUUAAUAAAAAUUAGAUUUAGAAAUUUAUAAGAGUAUUGACAAAAUUUGUGCCAGCAGUUGCGGUUAUACAUAUAAUACAAUUAAUUAAUUUUAGUUUAUAAUUAAUUAGUUAAUAAAAAUAUAAAUUAAAAUUUAUUAAGUGAAAUUUUAAAUUUUAAAAAUUUUUAUUAUAAAUAAUGAAGUUAUUAAAUUUAGUAUUAAACUAGGAUUAGAUACCCUAUUAUUAUAAAUGUAAAUAUAAAAACUUAAUUAGUAUUAGUUAUGUUCUUUAAAGUUAAAGAAUUUGGCGGUAUUUUAGUCUAUUUAGAGGAACCUGUCCUAUAAUCGAUAAUCCACGAUUUAUUAUACUUAUUUUAAUUAGUUUGUAUAUCGUCGUCAUUAGAAUAUUUUAAAAGAAUAAAAAUAUUCAAGAUUCAUAAUUAUGAAAAAAAUCAGAUCAAGGUGCAGCUUAUAAGUAAGAAGAGAUGGGUUACAAUAAAUAUAUUUAUAUGGUAUGAAUUUUGAAAAAUUUCAUUAAAGUGGAUUUAAAAGUAAUAAAGUUUAAUUAAAUUUUAUGAUUUUAGCUCUAGAAUAUGUACAUAUCGCCCGUCGCUCUCAUUUAAAAUGAGAUAAGUCGUAACAUAGUAGAUGUACUGGAAAGUGUAUCUAGUGAGAC